rnacentral:rRNA from 1 species
CCGGGCCCCCAGGAAGCGACGCGGCAUACAGGAGCAGCGCCGCGGUAAUACGGGAGCCAGCAGCCGCGGUAAUACGGGAGCCAGCAGCCGCGGUAAUACGGGAGCCAGCCUCCGGGGUAAUACCGGAGCGAAAGCCCACGGUUACUUCGGGGCCACCGCCCGCGGAAUAACGGG